UCCGGCCCCCAUCGGUACGCUGCCACCGCCCCCCUGGACUUUUCAUUAGACUGUGGUGCCCUUCUGCUGCUGUUGCAUGGGCCGCCGUCCUACAGAGCUGUCAUUGCAGAUGAUGUAGUGAAUGGGACAGGAGCCGGGAGGCUGGAACCCUUUGUCUCCACCGUUACCCGGGUCCUGGUUGCUCACCUCGCCUACUUGCAUGGCCCACCUGUGUGACCCACUCAGGAGUGACCCACCUGCUCUCUUCAGACCAUAUUCCCAUUCAGAAGUGGGUCCCACUCCUCAGGCCUCUGUGCUGGCGCUGUUUGUGGGGUUAGCAUGCAGCCCUGCUCUCCAUUUCCAGCUCAGAAGCAACUGGAUCUUUGUAAGUAAUUUCUGUCUUUCCCAGAGCCCUGUUGGGCCUGUGGGGACUUGGCUUGGUUGCCUCAAUUUUCUGAGCACAGGUAGAAACCUGAGGUUGAGUGAGGCAGGCAGAGGCUGGGCUGAGAUAUUCUAGGAGGAUAACAUCAGGUCAUUUCUACACCAUGCAGAGUGUAUUUUUUGUUGGUCUGUGUGUGUGUCAGUGUGGUUAGGGAGUUAUUAGUAUAUAUAUUUGAGUGAGCAUACAUACUUAGAUUGCACUUGGGCUCUGAUGUGUGUGGGUAGCAGGGAAUAUGGAUAUGUGUUCGCUAUGUUAAUAAGCACAUACAAUGGUAUCUGUUGAAGAAGGACGUCUUGUGAAAUGUUAUGAUAGAGUGUACAUUUUGGUGGAGUAUGUCUGAGUAUAGCUGGUGCAAAUACUAAUUUGAUCUUUCCUCUUAACAGACCUCAUUGGUGACAACUUGACUGUGCUGACCAGAGCUGAUAAGAAACAUCACCCGGGGAAGACCAGCUGCCUCUUCCUCACUUCCUAAUCAGGGUGGAAAUACUGCUAAAUAUAUCACAACUCUUUGCAAGCAUCAUUGGGUAAUGAUCAGGACAUCUUUGGGGGUUCACUAUCAGUUUCUCACAAAGUUGAACCUUUCAAGGUCAGUUCUAGGCCAGCCAGUCUGGGAGUCAUUCUUUAGAAUCAGAAGAGAAUUUAAGAAGAGGAGAAAAUGACAUUGUCUCUAAAACCUGCUAAUGAGAACUACAGGAAGGUAGCUAUUUUUAAUAUUUCUGGUUUGAACCCCUUCCUCCACCCCAGAAUGAACUGAGAGUAGGGACAGAAAUAGAUAAUGCAAAGAUGAUUAGGGUUGAGGGUAAGCAGAAAACUACCCAUCUAGACUGAAGGAAGGCUUGCUAACACAUCAGUAAGCAAACAGCUUUCUAAUCUGCAGGUAACAAGUUUUACAUCCCUGAGGACACUUUUUGAGAUGGGACUUUGUUGUUUUUUGUUUUUUUGAGACAGAGUCUUGCUCUGUCACCCAGGCUGGAGUGCAGUGGUGCGGUCUUGGCUCACUGCAACUUCUGCCUUCCGGGUUCAAACGAUUCUCCUGUCUCCGGCCUCCCAAGUAGCUGGGAUUACAGAUGCACACCACCACCCCAGCUAAUUUUUUUGUUGUUGUAUUUUUAGUAGAGAUAGGGUUUCAUCAUGUUGGUCAGGCGGGUCUUGAACUCCUGACCUUGUGAUCUGCCCUCCUUGGCCUCCCAAAGUGCUAGGAUUACAGGCGUGAGCCACCGCGCCCAGCCUGGGGCUUUUUGAGACCCUACUGAAGGCUGAAGAAGAGUGUGGAAGCUAAAGAGUAACCCAUUCCACCACUUGUUCUGAAGAUAGAAGAAGCAAAAAAAGAUUAAAUUGUACAAAAAGCACUUAAAUUAGACAACAGAAGAAUGUCCUGAUACAAAGUAAGUGUCUAAGAUGUGUUAAACAAGAUGCCCACUCCAGCCAGGACUCAGACACUCCUGGGUAGAGAGCAUCUUCACAGUUUGGGAUGAAAGUGACUACACGGAGUGGUGGAGUGAAGGCUGCAGGCCCCUCCCCAAGGUGGCAUCUAACCCCGGAGGUAUCAGGACCUCAGAGGCUACCCACAUGAUUUCCAGCUGAUGAGCAGAAAUAGCCGUGGCAGGUGCAGGCUUCACUUGCUGCCACCAACUUGGGAGCUCACCAAACACCCAGUGGCCAAAAGCACCAGGGUCUCUCUAAGCCCCGGGCUCACCGCCAGGCAAGCUUGGGUGCUUGGGAGGGCCAUGGUUCUUUACAGUGCAGCCCCUGGAUUUCUUCUCAAUUCACUCAACUCUCUCUCCUGAAUCCCAUCUGUGCAGCUCGGAAGUCACAAAUUGGAACCCCUCAAGGCAAAGCUGAACAUAGAUACAAAUGGUUUUGUCUGUGUAGUGUUUAAGCACUUAAAAAAUUCGUUGUGAACAUUUAAUAAUUAGGAAGUGUCAAAAUGAAAACAUCUAGAAUUUCUCUGUAAAAACCAGAAGAUCUGUUAACACUGAUCCCACACUUCUGUUUGGCAAUGACUGGCCCCUAAGACAGGGAGUAUGUCCUCUAGCUCACCACAGUCUCCACCAUUACCUACUGCAUCCCUGCUGAGACAAAGUGGUACUUGCCAUUUAGUAAGGAUGAAUGCUGUUUUUUUUUUUUAAAUUAUACUUAAUCCUCAUUUACAUUACCUGCCUUGAUUCUGGAGGUAUUUGAAUUUACAUCUCCUCAUAAAGAAUAAAUCUCAAAUUUAUUUAUCAUCUCUAAUUUCACCUUUAUUACAGAGCUUCCAAUUCAUUUUUUUUCCAAUUGAGAGGUGGACACCUUUGGAGCAUUUUUCUGGUGUUUCAGUCUCAACAUGUAACAGAUCAAAGAUACUUCUCUCCCUUCUUCCUUGUUUCUUAGUUCUUUCUCUCUCUCCAUAGUAUUACCCUUCUUUUUUCUGCUUUAAAAACCUUCAAUAGCGUCCCAUUGCCUGGAGUACUAAUUAAAAAUGUCUCACCUGACAUUCAAAUGGCUGCGUACCAAGGGGCCUUAGGAUACCCAUUCAGAUCACCCGGGAAGUCUGAUAAAAAUUCAGUUCAUGCAGCCUCUCCCUGAGAUUCCGG
ensembl:lncRNA